UACGUAGGUGGCAAGCGUUGUCCGGAAUUAUUGGGCGUAAAGCGCGCGCAGGCGGCCUUUUAAGUCUGAUGUGAAAUCUUGCGGCUCAACCGCAAGCGGCCAUUGGAAACUGGGAGGCUUGAGGACAGAAGAGGAGAGUGGAAUUCCACGUGUAGCGGUGAAAUGCGUAGAUAUGUGGAGGAACACCAGUGGCGAAGGCGACUCUCUGGUCUGUAACUGACGCUGAGGCGCGAAAGCGUGGGGAGCAAACAGG
rnacentral:rRNA from 1 species